AACGUAGGUGGCGAGCGUUAUCCGGAUUGACUGGGCGUAAAGGGUGUGCAGGCGGCUUCUCAAGUGGUGUAUGAAAUCGCCCGGCUCAACCGGGCGGGGUUAUGCCAGACUGGGGAGCUAGAGCGUGGGAGAGGGUGGUGGAAUUCCGGGUGUAGUGGUGAAAUGCGUAGAGAUCCGGAGGAACCCCAGAGGCGAAGGCGGCCACCUGGCCCACGACUGACGCUGAUGCGCGAAAGCCAGGGGAGCGAACGGG
rnacentral:rRNA from 1 species